UGGGGAAUUUUGGACAAUGGGCGCAAGCCUGAUCCAGCCAUGCCGCGUGCGGGAAGAAGGCCUUCGGGUUGUAAACCGCUUUUGUCAGGGAAGAAAUCUUCUGAGUUAAUACCUCGGGAGGAUGACGGUACCUGAAGAAUGAGCACCGGCUAACUACGUGCCAGCAGCCGCGGUAAUACGUAGGGUGCAAGCGUUAAUCGGAAUUACUGGGCGUAAAGCGUGCGCAGGCGGUUUUGUAAGACAGAGGUGAAAUCCCCGGGCUCAACCUGGGAACUGCCUUUGUGACUGCAAGGCUUGAGUGCGGCAGAGGGGGAUGGAAUUCCGCGUGUAGCAGUGAAAUGCGUAGAUAUGCGGAGGAACACCGAUGGCGAAGGCAAUCCCCUGGGCCUGCACUGACGCUCAUGCACGAAAGCGUGGGGAGCAAACAGGAUUAGAUAGCCCUGGUAGUCCACGCCCUAAACGAUGUCAACUGGUUGUUGGGAAGGUUCCUUCUCAGUAACGUAGCUAACGCGUGAAGUUGACCGCCUGGGGAGUACGGCCGCAAGGUUGAAACUCAAAUGAAUUGAC
rnacentral:rRNA from 1 species